GAUGAAGAACGCAGUGAAAUGCGAUACGUAGUGUGAAUUGCAGAAUUCAGUGAAUCAUCGAAUCUUUGAACGCACAUUGCACCUCUCGGUAUUCCGGGAGGUAUGCCUGUUCGAGCGUCAUUUGUACCCUCAAGCUCUGCUUGGUGUUGGGUGUUUGUUCCGCCUCUGUGUGUGAACUCGCCUCAAAACAAUUGGCAGCCGGCGUACUUGUUUCGGAGCGCAGCACAUUUUGCGAUCCAGAUCAACGUACAGCGGCAUCCAAGAAGCCUUAUUUAACGCUCUUGACCUCGGAUCAGGUAGGGAUACCCGCUGAACUUAAGCAUAUCAAUAGCGGAGGA
rnacentral:misc_RNA from 1 species